rnacentral:lncRNA from 1 species
AUGGGAUGUGCAGCACUCCAAGGACUUCCUCAGUGGGGCUGUGGGUGCUUGGAGCUUUGUCCUGUGCCACUCCGGGAUGUCAUGAAAUGGGACUUCACCUGCCACCAGCCCAGGUCACGCUCUGCCACCCCAGCUCCUUGGACCUUGUGUCCCCAAAGAAGACACAAGGUGUUUCUGCUGCUCCACCUUUGCACAGAUCCACAGAGAGCUGGGAUUAUCCCAAGUCUCGUGUCUCCACUGUGCCAUAUUCCUAAAGAACCAGCAGCCCAUCCCGACGAAUAUGCUCUUGGACACCUACUGACACAGAGCUGGGAAAAAAAUGCCCUGGCCAUGGCUUACAAGGUGAGUUCUGCCAAAGUUAGAGCUCUGUGGGAAAUCUCUAUCCUCCCUAUCCUUUUAAUAUAUCUGUACGUGGGGGUGUGCAUGGAUGUGUCUUGGAUGGAAAGGAAGGAGUGUGCAAACAACGUGACUGACACUUUCACUCUCUGUGCUCAUUCCAUACUCAUGGGUACCAAGAUAUUAUGGAAACCUUUGCAAGGACAGACCUUCUGUCCAUGGAUACAGAGACAUCCAAGAGCCCCUGGCACAGACAGACCCUUCUGUCCAUGGAUACAGAGACAUCCAACAGCCCCUGGCACAGACAGACCCUUCUGUCCAUGGAUACAGAGACAUCCAAGAGCCCCUGGCACAGACAGACAUUGCUGCUCUUCAGCCACUGACAGGAUGAGUCCCUGAGACUGGGGCUUGGCCUUCCUCGUGGUGAGGGGCAUCAAGGAAGGCUGCAGUGUGAUGGAGACUGUGAUGGGCUGGGAACUCACUGGGGGAAAGGAGGGAGCAGUUGUGAAGUAAAAGGCAGGUGUGGGGACACAACUGUUCAGAGAAGGGCUGAGCUACAGCUUGAGCAAGAUGAAAAAUGUCAUUUGGGGUCAUCCCAGAUGGAUUUCAUUUCAGAAGUUAUGGAACAAGUUUAAUUUUUGGGGGGUGUCAUGUUUUCCCUUGGAGGUGGACACUCUGCGGACUUGAGCUGCAUUGCCAAAAUGCUCAGGUCUCUGCUGCAGGUCACAGCGUUUCUUCU